UCAGGAUGAACGCUAGCGACAGGCUUAACACAUGCAAGUCAGGGGCAGCAUAAAGUAGCAAUACUUGGUGGCGACCGGCGCACGGGUGAGUAACGCGUAUGCAACCUACCUAUCAGAGGGGAAUAACCCGGCGAAAGUCGGACUAAUACCGCAUAAAACAGGGACACCGCAUGGUGAUAUUUGUUAAAGAAAUUCGCUGAUAGAUGGGCAUGCGUUCCAUUAGGUAGUUGGUGAGGUAACGGCUCACCAAGCCGACGAUGGAUAGGGGAACUGAGAGGUUGGUCCCCCACACUGGUACUGAGACACGGACCAGACUCCUACGGGAGGCAGCAGUGAGGAAUAUUGGUCAAUGGGCGAGAGCCUGAACCAGCCAAGUCGCGUGAAGGAAGAAGGAUCUAUGGUUCGUAAACUUCUUUUGCAGGGGAAUAAAGUGCAGGACGUGUCCUGUUUUGUAUGUACCCUGAGAAUAAGGAUCGGCUAACUCCGUGCCAGCCGCCGC
rnacentral:rRNA from 1 species